GUAACAGAUAUGAAAGGAGUAUCCCAGAAUUGUCAGGCAUUGUGCAAAAUUGAAGACCACAAUUAGACUAAGGAAAUAAAAUUUAAAAUCUAUGGUUGCAAUUUGACAUAACAUUUGGCAACUUGAAACGCCUUGUCACAGAAAUCAUCUCCAGCUGAAAUAACAAUUUCUUAUCAGCCUUGAAACUUGAAGAAUUUUCAUUGAUCUUAAGGGAUCGAAUUGAUCAACAACAAAAAUUGGAAAAAUGGAAACGAAAAGAAAAAUACUCACAAAGGGACUUGCAUCUUCGGAAUAUCUCCCACGAGGAUUGUUGUAUAAAUCUUGGACUUUUUAUUUCGGGAGGACAGAAUACGGCGAACGAACAAUUUCAUGGUUCUCGAGGACAAUAGGAACUCUUGUGCACUCUCGAAAACGAGAGCUGUGCAAGGUAUUAUACGUGUACGCGAUGCAAUAUAAUGGCCGUAACAUUCGUUGGGCGUAACGAAUUUAGAGAAAGAGAACCUACCAACCAAAUUAAAUCACAUCUACAUACAUAUAUACGGUAAAUAAGUAAGUAACUCUUUGCCAUUAAAACAUUAUGGUAAUUUUUUCUUAAUUGACUAUACAGAACUUUCAUUCGUGCUUUAUUUUAUCUCAUGACACUUUAUAUAUUUCGUGGAAAAAUAUAUUUAAAUUAAUAAAUUAUAUAUAUAUAAUUUUCUCUUCAUCGUCGUGUGCUUUAAAGAUCAACGUUUCGCAAUUAGAUUGUUAAAAAAUUUGGUGAAGCAUAGAUUAUCGAUGAAAAACAUACCAAAAGAGCCAAAAU
rnacentral:lncRNA from 1 species